rnacentral:rRNA from 1 species
AGACCUCUAAUCGGAAAAGACUACCCGCUGAGUUUAAGCAUAUCACUAAGCGGAGGA